AUUGAACGCUGGCGGCAGGCCUAACACAUGCAAGUCGAACGGUAACAGGAAACAGCUUGCUGUUUCGCUGACGAGUGGCGGACGGGUGAGUAAUGUCUGGGAAACUGCCUGAUGGAGGGGGAUAACUACUGGAAACGGUAGCUAAUACCGCAUAACGUCGCAAGACCAAAGAGGGGGACCCUCGGGCCUCUUGCCAUCGGAUGUGCCCAGAUGGGAUUAGCUGGUUGGUGGGGUAACGGCUCACCAAGGCGACGAUCCCUAGCUGGUCUGAGAGGAUGACCAGCCACACUGGAACUGAGACACGGUCCAGACUCCUACGGGAGGCAGCAGUGGGGAAUAUUGCACAAUGGGCGCAAGCCUGAUGCAGCCAUGCCGCGUGUAUGAAGAAGGCCUUCGGGUUGUAAAGUACUUUCAGCGGGGAGGAAGGGAGUAAAGUUAAUACCUUUGCUCAUUGACGUUACCCGCAGAAGAAGCACCGGCUAACUCCGUG
rnacentral:rRNA from 1 species